UACGGAGGAUGCAAGCGUUAUCCGGAAUGGUUGGGCGUAAAGCGUCCGCAGGUGGCUGUGUAAGUCUGCUGUCAAAGAGCGAAGCUCAACUUCGUAAAGGCAGUGGAAACUACACGGCUAGAGUGCGUUCGGGGCAGAGGGAAUUCCUGGUGUAGCGGUGAAAUGCGUAGAGAUCAGGAAGAACACCGGUGGCGAAGGCGCUCUGCUAGGCCGCAACUGACACUGAGGGACGAAAGCUAGGGGGAGCGAAGGGG
rnacentral:rRNA from 1 species